rnacentral:lncRNA from 1 species
UGUAUCAGUUGUUUCUUUUGUUAAUACAAUUUUUCUUUUGACAGGAGCCAUUAUAUUUGUAUCUGCAACCACAAAAAUCAAAUAUUUCUUAACAAAAAUAACAACAACCAAACACAACAACACAAACAACAAAUACGAUUCAAUACCACACAUGAACCAACCAACAAACCACAAAACCCUCCCUAAACCCUAACCAACGAAC